rnacentral:tRNA from 1 species
GCCUUCGUGGUGCAAUUGGAAGCACACUCGGUGCGUAUUCGAGAGGUCCGAGGUUCGAGUCCCGGAGAGGGCA